GACAGAGGGUGCAAACGUUGCUCGGAAUUACUGGGCGUAAAGCGCGUGUAGGCGGACCAGCAAGUCGGACGUGAAAUCCCUGAGCUCAACUCAGGAACUGCAUCCGAAACUGCUGGUCUGGAGUGGUGGAGAGGGAAGCAGAAUUCCUGGUGUAGAGGUGAAAUUCGUAGAUAUCAGGAGGAACACCGGUGGCAAAGGCGGCUUCCUGGACACUUACUGACGCUGAGACGCGAAAGCGUGGGGAGCAAACAGG
rnacentral:rRNA from 1 species